GGAAACUGAGGCCUGGGGGGAGCAGUGGGAGGUGUCAAGGCCCCUCAGCUGGCAGUUAUGUGUCACAGCUGUGACCCGGUCACGGUCCCCCUGACUCCUCUGUUGUGCCCGCUUCGUGGGACGGUCGUUACUAGAUGCUGAGGAUGUCACAGUAAAUAUGACAAAGGUGGACCUCCCCGUGGACAGGAGAGUCGGGGGCAGCAAAGACUGUCAGCCAGGAUGAGGUUCAUCUCCAGUGCCGGCAACCCGACCACAGACGCUCGGACACACUCGGGGCCCGUCCCCUCCACUGUGCUACCUGGCCCACCCACUGCAGCUCAGGCCAUGGGGAAGAGCGAUGGAGCCCGCAGAUGUUACGUCAAGUCAUCCUCCCGGCAACCGUGCGAGGGCCUCCAGGGGGGUGGGGGUUGUGUUUUGAGCAUAGGGAAUGGCUGGCGACAGCAGGAGCCACAACGCCAGACUGGAUUCCAGGAUCCCAUCGUCUAGGGUUCCUCCUCGAGUCCAGCAGGAGUCCUGUUUUCUGCAGUUGAAGAGAAUGGCCUGAGUUUUCCCUUGAAUACAAGGACAGCUAUUUAUUGACAUAUAAGCUUUCAUGGAUUUAGAACCCUCAAGUCGUUCUUCCUUAAGGAUAUAAAAAGUUUGAAAAUAUUUCCUCACAGAGCCCAUCUUCCAACUGAGUUCUGGGUUUCUUUAGCUCUUCCUCUCUUUUCUUCAGUGUAAAAUACUGUUUAUUGUGUUUGGGAUGGGAAACGAGAACUCCCUGAAAACCCCUUUGGGUGGGGUGUUUGAACAGAAGCUGGUAUGUGUGCGCAAUGAGAUGUCGUAUCUCUCAGGGAAAGAAUUUAGAUGGGUUUCUGUUGACCGGGGUGGUUGACCUACCAUAUACUCCGAAGUGGAAAACCUAGUUGUAAACAAGAUUAUAUGGUAUUACCCAGCUUUUAAAAACAACGCCAAACUCAAACUUACACAUGUUUGCGAGUUAGUGUGAACGUAGAGGAAGAUGUGACAGCACAGGGUCCAGUGCCACCUUCGUCCCCUAGCAGGCCCGGGGGGUGGGGGUGCGGGUGGAGGAGUUAGGGGGAGUAUUCCUUUUCUAUAUGUUAUUUGAUUUGUUACAGUAAUAAAAUGUCAGCUUUAAAUUAAUGAAUCUAACGGAGUGCUUUAAGCUUCAAGGGCAAGGGUCCUUCUAACCCCCCGGUUUCGGGGGGCACAUCUUCAGCUGAUAAGCACGGUCAAGCCUGAAUCCCUUUAGCAUGGAGGCUGCUGCUGCUCUGGACGUUCUCUGCCCGAGCCCUGCAUCAGUUAUUUCUCCAAGGAAUGUGGGCUCCUUUCCAUGGAGAAUAACGUUCAAAAGCCAAACUCCAGAUGAUGGGUGCGCUCAUUGCUUUUGGGGUGUUGAGUGAUCCCAGGUUCUUUCAGUGGGCAGGACUAGAGAAGGUAUGCCAGUCUGUCUGUCUAUCUAUCUAUCUCUCUAUCUCUCUAUCUAUCUAUCUGUGAUCUUUCUAUCUAUCUUUCUAUCUAUCCAUCCAUCUAUCCAUCAUCUGUCUGUCUAUCUAUCUAUCUACCUACCUAUCUAUCUAUCAUCUAUCUCCGAACCCCAAGUUCACAUGGAUACUUUUAAUUCCAAUUCCCACUCCAUUGGGCUCACUCUAGGGUUCCUCUCACCAAAUGUUUAAGUCACUUCUUUGACAACGGGAAACCUGCCUCCCAUUGUCCUUAUAUGUUUACUUAUUAGCUCAGUGUCGGAUGUGUACCCAGUCUCCCCUCACUGACAUUGCCUUCUCCCCUAGGCAGAUUCCCUCCUCCCCUACCCUGUGCUGGGCCUGGUGUCCUCACCUGGCAGAUCUUCUGACCCUGCAGGACACCCGCCCAGGCUGUACCCACAUGGAUGCUCUCCUCACCUCGGGCUUCAAGCCACUGAGCUGGGCUGCCCCCCACCCCUCCCUCCAUGUGGAUGGCUUCCUGACCUCACAAGGGCUCUGAGACCACAUUCCACCCCAUCACAUGGACAACCCCUUAUUCUGCUCUGGUUCCAACAGCUGUAUCAGGCCACUGCCUCACCAGGAUGCCUUCCUCACCCCUCUUAGGCUCUGAUACCCAUGCCAGAUGCCCCCCCCCAAAACUUCAAGGACACCGUUUUCUCCCUGAUUGAACUCUGACAUUCUUUUCGGGGCCAGCAGCACCUCCCCGACCCUGUCAUGGACACCUGUGGGCUUUGAACUGACUUGGUCAGGAAGGGAGAGGAAAAGGAAGAGGAG
ensembl:lncRNA